CUGGGCUUAAGCGUGUGUAGGCGGAUCGUUAAGUGCCUUGUGAAAUCCCACGGCUUAACUGUGGAACGGCUGGGCAUACUGGCGGUCUUGAGCCAUCUAGGGGCGACUGGAACAAACGGUGGAGCGGUGAAAUGCGUAGAUAUCGUUUGGAACGCCAAUGGUGAAAACAGGUCGCUGGGGAUGAGCUGACGCUGAGACACGAAAGCCAGGGAGCAAACGGGAUUAGAUACCCCGGUAGUCCUGGCCCUAAACGAUGUCCACUAGAUCAUGGUUCCUCUGACGGAUUCAUGGUCGAAGCAAAAGUGCUAAGUGGACCGCCUGGGAAGUACGGUCGCAAGGCUAAAACUCAAAGGAAUUGACGGGGGCUCACACAAGCGGUGGAGCAUGUGGUUCAAUUCGAAGCAACGCGCAGAACCUUACCUGGGCUUGACAUGCUUGGAUUAUCCCUAUGAAAGUAGGGUAGGCCCUUCGGGGUACAACAAGUACAGGUGCUGCAUGGCUGUCGUCAGCUCGUGUCGUGAGAUGUCGGGUUAAGUCCCAUAACGAGCGAAACCUUUGCCCUUAGUUACCAGCGGGUUAAGCCGGGGACUCUAAGGGGACUGCCGGUGUCAAACCGGAGGAAGGUGGAGAUGACGUCAAGUCCUCAUGGCCUUUAUGCCCAGGGCCACACACGUGCUACAAUGGCGUCGACAAAGCGAACCUAAAGCGCAAGCUGGUGGGAAACGCAAAAAUGACGCCCCAGUUCAGAUCGGAGGCUGCAACUCGCCUCCGUGAAGUUGGAAUCGCUAGUAAUCGCGGAUCAGCUACGCCGCGGUGAAUGUGUUCCUGAGCCUUGUACACACCGCCCGUCAAGUCAUGGGAGCCGGAAAUAGCCGAAGUUGCCGCACUACAGCGGUACC
rnacentral:rRNA from 1 species